rnacentral:rRNA from 1 species
UACGUAGGUGGCAAGCGUUGUCCGGAUUUACUGGGCGUAAAGAGCGCGCAGGCGUCGUACAAGUCGCGUGUGAAAGCCCCCGGCUCAACUGGGGAGGGUCACGCGAUACUGUUCGACUCGAAGGCAGGAGAGGGAAGCAGAAUUCCCGGUGUAGUGGUGAAAUGCGUAGAUAUCGGGAGGAAUACCAGUGGCGAAGGCGGCUUCCUGGCCUGUUCUUGACGCUGAGGCGCGAAAGCUAGGGUAGCAAACGGG